rnacentral:misc_RNA from 1 species
AUUUCGGGAUGUGCACCUGGCCCUCCCCCCCUCGUACUCCCCAGGAAACCACUUACAUCUAAACCCGCCUCUUCUAGUGCCAUCUGAAAGUCACUCAUCUUGCACUUGUACAAUUGGGUCUGAUCUUGAAAUCUAUCCACGAAUUCUGCAAAAGGAAAUAGCAUCCCUUGCUUCAACCACGCAUAGUCCCUUCGUGUUCCAUUUUUAGAAUACCCAUAAAACAUCACACAAAGAGCGCCAGGAAUACAACAACUGAGAACAGCUUCAGGAGCUUGCAAUAUGGGAUCUAUCACAAUGGCUGGCCACCAUGGAUAUCUCUU